rnacentral:rRNA from 1 species
ACUAUAACGGUCCUAAGGUAGCGAAAUUCCUUGUCGGGUAAGUUCCGACCUGCACGAAUGGCGUAACGAUGGCCACACUGUCUCCACCCGAGACUCAGUGAAAUUGAAAUCGCUGUGAAGAUGCAGUGUACCCGCGGCUAGACGGAAAGACCCCGUGAACCUUUACUAUAGUUUUGCACUGGACUUUGAUGAUGACUGUGUAGGAUAGGUGGGAGGCUGUGAAGUGAGGACGCUAGUUCUCAUGGAGCCGCCCUUGAAAUACCACCCUGUUGUUAUUGAGGUUCUAACUUGGUCCAGUAAUCCUGGAUGAGGACAGUGUAUGAUGGGUAGUUUGACUGGGGCGGUCUCCUCCCAAAGAGUAACGGAGGAGCACAAAGGUACCCUCGGUACGGUCGGACAUCGUACCAAGAGUGUAAAGGCAAAAGGGUGCUUGACUGCGAGAGUGACGGCUCGAGCAGGAACGAAAGUUGGUCUUAGUGAUCCGGUGGUUCUGAAUGGAAGGGCCAUCGCUCAACGGAUAAAAGGUACUCCGGGGAUAACAGGCUGAUACCGCCCAAGAGUUCAUAUCGACGGCGGUGUUUGGCACCUCGAUGUCGGCUCAUCACAUCCUGGGGCUGAAGCAGGUCCCAAGGGUAUGGCUGUUCGCCAUUUAAAGUGGUACGCGAGCUGGGUUUAGAACGUCGUGAGACAGUUCGGUCCCUAUCUGCCGUGGGCGUAGGAAAAUUGAGAGGAGCUGCUCCUAGUACGAGAGGACCGGAGUGGACGAACCUCUGGUGCACCGGUUGUCACGCCAGUGGCAUGGCCGGGUAGCUAAGUUCGGACGGGAUAACCGCUGAAAGCAUCUAAGCGGGAAGCCUCCCUCAAGAUGAGUUUUCCCAUGAAGCCCGUUGAAGACUACGACGUUGAUAGGCAAGGUGUGGAAGCGCAGUAAUGUGUGAAGCUAACUUGUACUAAUUGGCUGAUUGUCUUGACCAUAUAAUCUGAG